rnacentral:sRNA from 1 species
UAUGUGUCUAGAUACGUUUAUGUGUGAAUGUUCAUGUUCAGGGAUUCAGUUUCACAGUUUUAACUUCAAUUUUCUUGUUUACCCCACAAAUGACAAAAUUGCGUCAUUCCUUCUCUUUGCCCCUUUCCAACACCACCCCACAAUUUUUUAAACAAUCAAAAGAAAAAUUAAAACCAGCAAACCUUGAAUUAUUGUUUGUUAUUUUGAUGGUGAAAUACUGCAGGUAGACACUGAGGUGGACAUUGAUUUCCUUUUCUCUGCGUCAAAAUGUCAAGGAAAGUUGCAAGUCUGUGAUUUUGUGUUUGGUUUUUUGCAUGUUGCUUCUAUGGAAAAACAAAACAACAACAGCAGUCCUCCCUGCCCAAAGUGUUAAAAUGCCUCCUUCAUAACCUGAGACUUACUUUCAUUUUCUAGGUGCUGGAGAAUCUGGUAAAAGCACCAUUGUGAAGCAGAUGAGGAUCCUGCAUGUUAAUGGGUUUAAUGGAGACAGUGAGAAGGCAACCAAAGUGCAGGACAUCAAAAACAACCUGAAAGAGGCGAUUGAAACCAUUGUGGCCGCCAUGAGCAACCUGGUGCCCCCCGUGGAGCUGGCCAACCCCGAGAACCAGUUCAGAGUGGACUACAUUCUGAGUGUGAUGAACGUGCCUGACUUUGACUUCCCUCCCGAAUUCUAUGAGCACGCCAAGGCUCUGUGGGAGGAUGAAGGAGUGCGUGCCUGCUACGAACGCUCCAACGAGUACCAGCUGAUUGACUGUGCCCAGUACUUCCUGGACAAGAUCGAUGUGAUCAAGCAGGCUGACUAUGUGCCGAGCGAUCAGGACCUGCUUCGCUGCCGCGUCCUGACUUCUGGAAUCUUUGAGACCAAGUUCCAGGUGGACAAAGUCAACUUCCACAUGUUUGACGUGGGUGGCCAGCGCGACGAACGCCGCAAGUGGAUCCAGUGCUUCAACGAUGUGACUGCCAUCAUCUUCGUGGUGGCCAGCAGCAGCUACAACAUGGUCAUCCGGGAGGACAACCAGACCAACCGCCUGCAGGAGGCUCUGAACCUCUUCAAGAGCAUCUGGAACAACAGAUGGCUGCGCACCAUCUCUGUGAUUCUGUUCCUCAACAAGCAAGAUCUGCUCGCUGAGAAAGUCCUUGCUGGGAAAUCGAAGAUUGAGGACUACUUUCCAGAAUUUGCUCGCUACACUACUCCUGAGGAUGCUACUCCCGAGCCCGGAGAGGACCCACGCGUGACCCGGGCCAAGUACUUCAUUCGAGAUGAGUUUCUGAGGAUCAGCACUGCCAGUGGAGAUGGGCGUCACUACUGCUACCCUCAUUUCACCUGCGCUGUGGACACUGAGAACAUCCGCCGUGUGUUCAACGACUGCCGUGACAUCAUUCAGCGCAUGCACCUUCGUCAGUAUGAGCUGCUCUAAGAAGGGAACCCCCAAAUUUAAUUAAAGCCUUAAGCACAAUUAAUUAAAAGUGAAACGUAAUUGUACAAGCAGUUAAUCACCCACCAUAGGGCAUGAUUAACAAAGCAACCUUUCCCUUCCCCCGAGUGAUUUUGCGAAACCCCCUUUUCCCUUCAGCUUGCUUAGAUGUUCCAAAUUUAGAAAGCUUAAGGCGGCCUACAGAAAAAGGAAAAAAGGCCACAAAAGUUCCCUCUCACUUUCAGUAAAAAUAAAUAAAAUAACAGCAGCAAACAAACAGAAAUAAAAUGAAAUAAAAGAAACAAAUGAAAUAAAUAUUGUGUUGUGCAGCAUUAAAAAAAAUCAAAAUAAAAAUUAAAUGUGAGCAAAGAA